CAAUAGCGUAUAUUAAAGUUGUUGCGGUUAAAAAGACUCGUAGUUGGAUUUCUGCCGAGGACGACCGGUCCGCCCUCUGGGUGAGCAUCUGGCUCGGCCUGGGCAUCUUCUUGGAGAACGUAGCUGCACUUGACUGUGUGGUGCGGUAUCCAGGACUUUUACUUUGAGGAAAUUAGAGUGUUUCAAGCAGGCAUACGCCCUGAAUACAUUAGCAUGGAAUAAUAAGAUAGGACCUCGGUUCUAUUUUGUUGGUUUCUAGAGCUGAGGUAAUGAUUAAUAGGGACAGUUGGGGGCAUUAGUAUUUAAUUGUCAGAGGUGAAAUUCUUAGAUCGGUCAAAGGCGAACUACUGCGAACGCAUUCGCCAAGAAUGUUUCUUUAAUCAAGAACGAAAGUUAGGGGAUCGAAGAUGAUCAGAUACCGU
rnacentral:rRNA from 1 species